ACGGUAGUGGUUGGGGCAGGUGCCUUGCCUGGGCCUGAUAAGCGUGAGGUCGGCAGUUCAAGUCUGCCCUUCCGUACCA
rnacentral:tRNA from 1 species